UACGUAGGGUGCGAGCGUUAAUCGGAAUUACUGGGCGUAAAGCGUGCGUAGGCGGACAUUCAAGUCAGGCGUGAAAGCCCUGGGCUUAACCUAGGAAUUGCGUUUGAGACUGAAUGUCUGGAGUGUGGCAGAGGGAGGUAGAAUUCCACGUGUAGCAGUGAAAUGCGUAGAGAUGUGGAGGAAUACCGAUGGCGAAGGCAGCCUCCUGGGCUAACACUGACGCUGAUGCACGAAAGCGUGGGGAGCAAACAGG
rnacentral:misc_RNA from 1 species